UACGGGGGGGCAAGCGUUGUUCGGAAUUACUGGGCGUAAAGGGCUCGUAGGCGGCCAACUAAGUCAGACGUGAAAUCCCUCGGCUUAACCGGGGAACUGCGUCUGAUACUGGAUGGCUUGAGGUUGGGAGAGGGAUGCGGAAUUCCAGGUGUAGCGGUGAAAUGCGUAGAUAUCUGGAGGAACACCGGUGGCGAAGGCGGCAUCCUGGACCAAAUCUGACGCUGAGGAGCGAAAGCCAGGGGAGCAAACGGG
rnacentral:rRNA from 1 species